GAAGCAACGGCUGGCGGCGUGCCUAACACAUGCAAGUCAACUUGACUGAAGGAGCAAUCUGACAGUAGAGUGGCGCAAGGGUGCGUAACGCGUAAGUAACUUGACCCCAAGGUAAGGAAUAACGUCGAGAAAUCGGCGCUAAUACCUCAUAAUGCAGCGGAUCCGCAUGGAUAUGUUGUUAAAGGUUUACCGCCUUGGGAUAGGCUUGCGUCUGAUUAGUUAGUUGGUGUGGUAACGGCACACCAAGGCUACGAUCAGUAACUGGUCUGAGAGGAUGAUCAGUCACACUGGAACUGAGACACGGUCCAGACUCCUACGGGAGGCAGCAGUGAGGAAUAUUGGGCAAUGCUCGAAAGAGUGACCCAGCAACGCCGCGUGGAGGAUGAAGGUAUUCUAUAUCGUAAACUCCUGUGAGAGCAGACGAAAGACAGAUUAUUAAUCUGGAUGACUGUAUGCUCAGAGGAAGCCCCGGCUAACUACGUG
rnacentral:rRNA from 1 species